GGAUAGCUCAGUUAGUAGAGCACGAAACUUUUAAUCUCGGGGUCGUGGGUUUGAGUCCCGCGUUGGGCA
rnacentral:tRNA from 1 species